rnacentral:tRNA from 1 species
GUCCCUAUAGUGCAAUGUAUAGCGUAUUGAACUUCUAAUUCAAAGGUCGUGUGUUCGAAUCCCACCUGGGAUG